rnacentral:rRNA from 1 species
UACAGAGGUCUCAAGCGUUUGUUCGGAUUCAUUGGGCGUAAAGGGCGCGUAGGCGGCGAGGUAAGUCGGGUGUGAAAUCUCAGAGCUCAACUCUGAAACUGCACUCGAUACUGCUUUGCUAGAGGACUGGAGAGGAGAUUGGAAUUCACGGUGUAGCAGUGAAAUGCGUAGAGAUCGUGAGGAAGACCAGUGGCGAAGGCGGAUCUCUGGACAGUUCCUGACGCUGAGGCGCGAAGGCCAGGGGAGCAAACGGG